GAUGAACGCUGGCGGCGUGCCUAAUACAUGCAAGUCGAGCGAACAGACGAGGAGCUUGCUCCGCUGACGUUAGCGGCGGACGGGUGAGUAACACGUGUAUAACCUACCUAUAAUACGGGUAUAACUUCGGGAAACCGGAUCUAAUCCCGGAUAAUAUAUUGAACCGCAGUGUUCAAUAGUAAAAGACGGUUUUGCUGUCUCGUAUAGAUGGAUCCGCGCCGCAUUAGCUAGUUGGUAAGGUAACGGCUUAUCAAGGGAACGAGGCGUAGACGACCUGAGAGGGUGAUCGGCCACACUGGAACUGAGACACGGUCAAGACUACUACGAGAGGCAGCAGUAGGGAAUCUUACGCAAUGGGCGAAAGCAUGACGGAGCAAGGCCGCGUGAGUGAUGAAGGUCUUCGGAUCGUAAAACUCUGUUACGAGGGAAGAACAAAUGUGUAAGUAACUAUGCACGUCGUGACGGUAAUUAAUCAGAAAGCAACGGCUAACUACGUG
rnacentral:rRNA from 1 species